UACGAAGGGGGGCGAGCGUUAUUCGGAAUCACUGGGCGUAAAGCGUGCGUAGGCUGCUUGGCAAGUUGGAAGUGAAAGCCCCAGGGCUCAACCCUGGAAUUGCUUUCAAAACUGCCAGACUCGAGUCCGGGAGAGGAUAGCGGAAUUUCCAGUGUAGUAGUGAAAUACGUAGAUAUUGGAAGGAACACCAGUGGCGCAAGCGGCUAUCUGGACCGGUACUGACGCUGAGGUACGAAAGCGUGGGGAUCAAACAGG
rnacentral:rRNA from 1 species